AUUGAACGCUGGCGGCAGGCCUAACACAUGCAAGUCGAGCGGAUGAAGGGAGCUUUCUCCUGUCUUCAGCUACGGACGGGUGAGUAAUGCCUAGGAAUCUGCCUGGUCGUUAGGGAUAACGUCCGGAAACGAACGCUAAUACAGCAUACGACCUGAGAUAGAAACUCAUGGAUCUUCGGACCUCACGCUAUCAGCUGAGCCUAGGUCGGAUUAGCUAGUUGGUGGGGUAAAGGCCUACCAAGGCGACGAUCCGUAACUGCUCUGAGAGGAUGAUCAGUCACACUGGAACUGAGACACGGUCCAGACUCCUACGGGAGGCAGCAGUGGGGAAUAUUGGACAAUGGGCGAAAGCCUGAUCCAGCCAUGCCGCGUGUGUGAAGAAGGUCUUCGGAUUGUAAAGCACUUUAAGUUGGGAGGAAGGGAAGUAAGUUAAUACCUUGCUGUUUUGACGUUACCAACAGAAUAAGCACCGGCUAACUUCGUG
rnacentral:rRNA from 1 species